AUUGAACGCUGGCGGCAGGCCUAACACAUGCAAGUCGAGCGACGGGCGGGCGGGUAAGUACUGUAUGGGGAUCUGGCCGAUAGGGGGGGAUAACUGCUGGAAACGCUAGCUCAUACGACAUACUGUCGGAUAAACCCCUGUGGGAUUAGCUAGUUGGUAAGGUAAUGGCUUACCUAGGCGACGAUCCCUAGCUGGUCUGAGAGGAUGAUCAGCCACACUGGGACUGAGACACGGCCCAGACUCCUACGGGAGGCAGCAGUGGGGAAUAUUGCACAAUGGGCGCAAGCCUGAUGCAGCCAUGCCGCGUGUAUGAAGAAGGCCCUAGGGUUGUAAAGUAUUUUCAGUCGGGAGGUGUUACCGACAGAAGAAGCACCGGCUAACUCCGUGCCAGCAGCCGCGGUAAUUC
rnacentral:rRNA from 1 species